rnacentral:rRNA from 1 species
GAGGAACUUGUCCUAUAAUUGAUAAUACACGUUUUUAUUUACUUAAUUUAGAUUUACAUAUCGUCGUAAUUUGAAUAUUUUUAUAGAAAUUAAAUAUUCAAGAAUUUUAAUAAUAGAAAAUCAGAUCAAGGUGUAGUUUAUAGUUAAGAAGAGAUGAGUUACAAUAAAAAUAUUUUGAUGGAUAAAUUUUUUAAAAGAAUUUUGAAAUUGGAUUUAAUAGUAAUUUAGUAUAUAUUUUCAGAAUGAUUAAAGCUCUAAAAUAUGUACAUAUUGCCCGUCGCUUUCAUUUUAAAAUGAAAUAAGUCGUAACAUAGUAGAAGUACUGGAAGGUGUUUCUAGAAACAAAUUAAAGCUUUAUAAAGUAUUUUAGUUACAUUAAAAAGAUUAUAUUAAUUUAUAUAAUUUGAAAGUUAAAAAUUAUUUAAAUUUUAAAAUUUUUAUUUUUUUAAAAAAAAUAAUUUAUAUUUUUAUUAGUUUAUAUGAAAUAAUAAGAUUAAUUAUAGAAUAAUAGUAUUGUUAAAGAAAUUUAUUUAUUUAGUUUAAAGAAAAGUUAAAUUUUUGUACCUUGGGUAUCAGGGUUUAUUAAAUAAUAAUUUUAAUUUAAAAAUUUCUCGAAUUUAAAAGAGCUAUAAAUUUAUAUUUUUUAUUGUUGAAUAAAUAUUAUUAAUAUGUUUAUAGAAGUAAAAUGCUAUGCGAUUUUAAAUAUAUCUAGUUUUUUAAGAAAAAAAUUUAAUUUAGUUUUUAUUUUAUUAUUAGGUUAUAUAGGUAAUAUAAUAAUUAAGUAAAAAUUAAUAUUUUAAGGGAUGAGCUUUAAAAUAAAUUAAUAAAAUUUAAAUAUUAAAUAUUUAAUAAGUAGAAAUAGAAGUUUUUUUUCUUUGAUAGUGUUUUAUAACUAUUUAAUUUUAUAUUAAAAUUUAUAUAUAAAUUUAUAUAAUUUAUUAAAAUUUAAUUUUUAAUGGGGUAAAAUUAGUAAUAAUGAUAAAAUUAGUAUAAAUAAUCUAAGUCUUAUUUUUUUUUAUUUUCAAGGUUAAAUAAAGGAAUUCGGCAAAUAUAUUUUUCACCUGUUUAAUAAAAACAUGUCCUUUUGAAAAUAAUUUAAGGUCUAACCUGCCCAAUGAGAAUUUCAAUGGCCGCGGUAUUUUGACCGUGCAAAGGUAGCAUAAUCAAUAGUUUUUUAAUUGAAAGCUUGUAUGAAAGGUUGGAUGAAAAAAUAGCUGUCUCUAUUUAAGUUUAAUAGAAUUUUAUUUUUAAGUUAAAAAGCUUAAAUAUUUAUAGAAGACGAGAAGACCCUAUAGAGUUUUAUAUUUAAAAAAUAUAGAUUUUUAGUAUUAAA